AAUUAAUACCAAUUAAUCAGCUUCAUCAACACCAAACGAGGUAUCUUAUCAAGGAAAAGGCUUCGGAUUUGAUACUCCAUUAAAAUAAGAUCAAGAUGAAAAUCCAGAAAAAUUUAAGAUACAAUUAUAAGCAUUUUCCUUAGCAUCCAAAUCAGGUAUCCCAUUUUUAACGUACAGCAAACGUUGUGUUAAACGUACAGAAGAAGUACGGGCGUUGGUCCGAAACGUCUAAAAGGUUUGCUAAAGAAAUCUAAGAGCGCCCCAGGUAAAUGCAGAGCCCUGCUUUCUGUAGGGACUGGGUUUUUCCUUACCGGACGGUGCGCAGCAACGAUAUCGAUAGAAACUAUUAGCAGGACCUGUUUUAAACUUUUUAUUUACGCUGCGAUAAUGUUUUUGUUAUCGAAAAAUCCAGUUAAUCACUUUGUGUCCAAAUAGCGUAGCAUGAAGUAUACUUUACCACUCCGGUAUAGAGAUGCAAGAAAAAAACGAGAUAUAGAAAAUAUAUAACGUGGAGCGAACAGAAUGGAUAUUUACUAGUAUGCAGGACAUCUGGAACCAUAGUAUUUAUUUUUACAAGCAAAAUUACAUGAAUUCCAGCGCAAAUUUGCGACAUUUGUUCAUAACAGCACGUGCUACUAAGAAAUAGUUCCUUUGCUUUGUUGUUUAUUACUGUCCCUAUAUUAAGUUUUUAGAACGUCCAGUAAGCGUUCAUGCAUACAUAAAUAUAAGGACGUGUCUAAGAAAGAACAAAUACAGACGGGACAAGUUAUUCAAAAAGAGAAUAGGACAGAGCAUUUGAACGCCUAAAACAGUUGACACAUCGAGACGUCAGAGAUAAUUGGAUCGUUCGGAUGACGGUAGCAGAAUUCAUAUUUUAUGCUUUAUGCAACUAAGUAUUACCACUUGAAGAAAUCAACUAUAUUGCGUCGUGUGAAUAUAUUAACUUUCGAUUUAUAAAUUAUAUAUAUACUCAUACGUAUACAACCUAGCAGAUGGCGUUUAGUCCUUGGUAUACAGGAUGAAGCAAAAUCACUUAUAUUUUGCAGAUAUCAUCGAGUUGCGUAUUGCCCUGUACAUUUAUAUAAAUCCUCUUACAACUAGACGUUCAUUUGAUUCAUACAUAGACAAUUGUAGCUUUCUAUUCUAAUAGAUUUUGUCGCAUUUUUGAGGAGUUAUAAACAUACAUCAAAAACGUAAACAAGCCUUAUUAUUAUAUUAUAUUAAGGGUUACAGACACGUGACAACAAAUUUUCAAUUUUAACAUUUUUCAUUUAUUGGCAACGUUACGCUUAGGGUACUAAUGUGUACAACAAGGCUGAGUUAACAUGAGGGAGGAAUGUUUUUUGAUGAGUUUGAAAUACCAAGAUUGACUAUAGUUCCGAAAAACAAACUUACUAAUAAUCAUAUGCUAAGAAAAAUCGACGCUCGCAUAAAAUACGUGUGUUUUAGGGGGCGAAAGGGCUACGCGAAGUAAAGCACUGGCCUCUCACCUAAGUUUCUAAAAAUCCUACAUAGGAAAGAACGUCGAUGCUGAACAACUAUUCUGUAUUAGCUCAGCGGAAGCUAAUUUCGUACAAAGUAAAAUCAGCUAUACUGACUAGUUCGAAAAUACGAGCCGCGUUUUACGAAAAUUUUCGCACGCCUCAUAUUAUUGUACACUUAUUGAAGUCGUAUUACAAUCAAGUGGCAACUAUUACAGUCUAAGAUCUUUGAGAUUUGGAUCUGUGUUUUCUGCUAAAUGAAUGCACUUACUUCUUAUUCACGAAAAAACCCUCUCACAGUUCCUACCUAUAGGAAUAGUUUAAUUUGUUAGUUAUCCUCUGUCCUCCAUGUUAUAUUUUAUGCAUAUUUAUGGUUAUUCUGUACAUUGGCAUAUAUGUAACGGUAACAGUAAUUUUUCUGGUGGAUCCCAAAUUAUAGUUGUUCAUUGCAGGCGACUCUACCGAUGACGAGGAUCCUUGAGGCUUUUCAUCAGCUUCGUUACUCUACUCAGCCUUUCGCUCGCUUACGACAUCAUUAUAUUUAAAUCCUAAACAUCACCCACGAGCGCCAGCCUUAAGGCAAUUCUUCAUAUCGAAUGUUGUUGUUGGAGCCGUUGUUGAUACCGCUGCUGUUGCAGCUGGCUAUUGGACGAGCACGCUUACAAAUUGUUUUCGACUGACCAUGCCAGGUGGAUCUCACUCGUACGGAAACUAUUUAUUAUUGCUUUGCUUUUUUAACGACAGGGGGCGAAGCUCUAUCCGCUCGCAAAUUGUACAUCAGAAGCCAAGCGUUCAUAGACUUCGCCGAAAAUGACUGCACAAUCCUAUCCGACGUGAAGACUCGUUGUUUUCAUCCAUGAUCGUGGCCUGACAAACAACGCCUACUUUCUCCACUACUACAGCCACCGUGAUGAUGACCUGCUUUUUCCUUCAAUCUGUGGACGACGUUCGUCUGUAUUUCGACUUGGGUUAAUACGCUUAUGCCGCAUAGCCGCCUGAUCUAUUAAACUGCUGACGUUUGUUCGGGAUGAAUUGAACAACUCAAUGCUUGACAAAUCAUGCGCUUCGAUUGACAGCAGCGGGCCUGCAACCGGUCGGGAAUCCAAGCUAUCCAUCCGCUACGUAUUGUUAUCUUCAGUGUGUGGGUGAGGCUCCGUACGAAAGCGUGCAUCUCAACUUGCAAAUCUCAUAGAGGUUCCCAUACAGCGACUGUUCGAGGCACUUGACCGACCCUUGUGCCUUGCGAAGUGCUAAAUUCAGUACAUCGAGAUAUGAACGGUUCGUGUGUCCAAGACUGGACAAAGAGUCCAAAUGGAGUCAGCUCUAGAAGUAGCCAAAUGUCAAACAUGACAAGACAAAAUCUCUACUGGUCCAUCUCUACAAUAAUCAAAGAAAUACUAUUUUUGUGCACGACCGUCUAGUUUUACAUCUCUGGCGAAAUAUGCAAAUAGUUUGUCGUUGGAGGACACACGCUGUAAACGGCCUUGGCUUUGGUGAGUGAGCAGUGACUCUGAGCAGCAGUAGUCUCAAUGAUCUGAAACGUCUGACACAGUAUUCGGCACACGGUUUUUAAGUCGACUAGUGGCACCCGUCUCUACUGCGACUGCUGUAGAUCGCUUUCGUCCCCUUUCACACAUACAUCUAUAUUAAAACUCUCUGAACGCCGCCUUCCUUCACUGCAUUGAGAUUAAUUUCAGGUGUCAACGUAGAUCGAUGGCUUCUCAAGUGUCUUACGAGACUGCCGUUGAUCCAAGUCAUCUGCGUGGUGCCAUGCAGGAAUUUUAUAGACGAAGUUUAGUUGACAGUUCUGCGAGGGGUAGUUCAGGGUCGAUGCGUUAGCAGGUAUGUGUAUGUCCCGUGAUUGUGUGCCAAAGACCCUAAUAAACACGGUCAGCUCAAUCGCGAAACACUGAAAAUGAUGCCUAAGAAGCUUGCGAGUGUACGAAUGGAAACGGUCCGUUAAUCCGUACCGGUCCGAGUGGUCGUAGUGCAUAUCCACACAUGUUUCAUUCAAACGUUCACGUAUAAGGCAGAGGUUAUUAUUCGAGCGUGAAUACGUUAUCGCUCCGUGCAGAGCGUGGACUCAGCACCUUAAUGCACCGUUCAAAUGAAACCGGUUUGCUUCGACUGACUGCCCCCUAGCGUGAGUUAAUCACUAGUUCUGAAAGCGCACAUAUUACAUUUGGUCAAUUGAGAUUAGCUCUGUCCAUGUCGUUACGUGAUAUUGCUUUUUAAGCUACUAAUAAUGGGGAUUGGGAAUCGCCGAUUCAAGACACCGCGUCGUUCGUACUCUACAACGACGAAUUACUCGGAAGCUUUUCGAAUUUUACAUACCUACCGUAUGUCAAGCAGUAUUUCUAAAGAGGAAAAAACUUCUACCUUCGGUCAGAACUAUCAGCGCUAGGAAUUCACUAAGGUUUCAGAAGUACACCGACACGCAAACGUUUGUCAGGAUAAGAGGUAAAUGAUUGGUCUGUUUAGAUAAGCGAUGGCCGCAAUCCUGAUGAUUUCAGCCGAAGUGCCGCCGCUGCAAGCAAAUUUGAUUCACGUAGAUACGAAGCAGAAGAAAGUGGGAUCACUGACCCACUAACGAAAUGGCGACUUAAUUCGGUCCAGCCCCAGCCGUUUCCUAUAUCUUCGCAGAAAUAUAACGAAUUACUAUAGACUAUAUAUAUGUAUGUACAAUGUGAUGUGCGUAGCAGCGUUCGUUGAAACGAUGCCGUCGAUAAGAACUAGCCAUUGCGAAUUGGUCAGUAUCCAAUACGGACAGUUGUACAGAUGCAGACGGUCAGUCACAACCGCAAUAAUAAUAAUAAUGAUGUAGAAAUGAGGUCUACAUAUAUCAUCACAACACAACCCCCAUGCUGAAUGACGAAAUAACUUCUUUUAGAUGAUGUCAUACAUGAAGAACUAAGCCAAAGAUACAUAAGACGCCACAUAUACCGGCAGCGUGAUGGGGUAAAUUAAAUUAGUCUUCUUUGCAGUGGCGUUUCACUGUUAACAAAUGUAUGCUGAUAUGUAUGUAAAUAUUGCACGGCAAUCUGCAAACGUCACUGCGCAACAAGUGCAUCGCGGACGUCGUCUGGAUGGCGCCGCCAUGCUGGAAAAUUCUUCCGGCAACAACACAACAGUCAUUUAGACAAUCGCUAUAGUGAGGUUAUUUGGAUCAGAUGCGUGUCACAGAAACGAGACACGGUGUUUAGGCCUCAGUGGAUCAUCGAUUGGGUAAACAAUUGUGCCAGUGCAAGUGGUACACACGUCGGAUCUUGUUCACUGCUCCGCAAAAGGCAAUCCGGCCGUCGAGGGGUAGUGUUUCUACGUUUGUGCCAGUGCGCUUACCAACCGUUAACUUCGCGUGGCGUGUCUGGUGAAGAAAGAGAAAAGCUGCGCUCAGCUCAGAAAAAGCAUAUUUCUACAGUGACUAUUAGCAUGUAAAACAACUGCACUUCGUGAAGUUUCACUGUCACAAUGGAACCUCAACGUACACAUCAGGUAGACAAGACCGCAGGCAACAAAAAGUAGCUGCUUGUCUCCAUUGCGAUCCAUUUCUGUUUUCGUAAUUGUCUAACAGUGAUUCGUACGUGUAAAGAGAAAAAUGAAUAGCAUAUAUUCAUAAAAUACAUGCACGUUUGAACGUCAAUUUCUGUUGGCUGGCGUGAGAACCCCACAAUGAUUUUUUCCAUAAAUGAAUUUCUAGGCUAAAAAAACAAACAAGCAUGGAUGUACAACGUCACUAGGUAGCUAGCAAUAUGAUGGGAUCCCACACUAAGUUUCCUAUAGCAUAAUGAAAACGAUUUCAUUUCUACCUUAAAAAACGACAGUCGGGUAGCCAGCUAGAUGAUAAACAAACGCUACAGCGUUCAGCUUUCAAUACUGGUCGCAAUUAAUGAACCACCUAAGCCUAAAGCAUUUGUUUCUAUUUGAUAACAACUGAUAGAAAAAGAAAGCAUCGUUAUAGCACUACCGCUAGAUGUGAGAGAGGUUGGACUGAAAAGAAAGUCAUCUUUACCAUACUUGCAUAGGCUGAGUAAACGUCUACUUCAAAAGAGUUAACUGCAUUUGCUAUAGUGAUCCGACCUUCAAAACAUGUAAC